UCUCGUCUCGGACUGACUGCUUUUGCUGUGUCGGAGAACGAGAACUUUUCCCCUGCCCCCUCCUCAUCUUCUCGUCCCCCCUUCUUCUUCCCCUUCUUUAUUAACCACCUUCUUAUUCUUCUUCUUCUUCUUCUUCUUCUUCUUCUACUUACUCCUUCUCCUCUUUCUCCUUCUUCUUAUCUUUCUUUUCGUUCGCCGUUUCUCUAUCCUCUAUCCCUCCUUUUUCUCCCUCUCUCUCUCUCUCUCUUUCUCUCUCUCUCAUUCUUCUUUUCCCAACUCGUUAAAACUUAUGUUCGCUGUAUUCUGUCUAUGCUUACCUGCCGUAGCAGCUGAGCUUAUCCCACCAUUCUGCUAACGAAAGAGAGACUCUCUCGCGUAAAUGAACGAGCUGGAAGGUACGCGUCUUAUGCGUCUCUCGGCAUGCCAGAAAAGCGAGCAAAGAAGGGGCAAAGAGAUCGUAAAGUAUAUUCGAGCACGCGCUCGAUUAGAAGCGAAUGGGAAGGACAAAAGCUGUAGAAUAACAUUAUAUAUACAAACUAUGGACAACGUAAGUACACGCUAUGGGGGCCGUCCUCGAAGCAAACCAGGGAGAGGCCACAUUCCAAGCCAUGGAGAAAGCCUCUUCGCUAACGAGCGCACACAGCGGCGCAAAAGUUGUGCACGAACGGAAUAACAUGUGAUCCGUUAGUUCAUGCCUCAUAGUAGGGAUGUGUUCGAUCGAUCGAUCGAUCUUGAUCCAUUGAACGAUCGAUAAUGUCGUUCGUUCCACUCAAACUUCAUUUUUUGAUGUGUUAAU